CUGAAACCGUUUUCCGGUCAAGUGUCGAUCUCCCGUCAGGGCGGAACAAAUCUCAAAGUAAAUGUCCGCUUUCUGAUUUAUUUCCAUUUCCCUCCGAGGAAAGUUGGGGCGUUUGUGAAGCAUCUCCUGCGGCCAGAGUCUGAUGUAUCUCUGAGAGUUCUCUGCAGUUCCUUGCAGUCAUGGGCAGAGCAGUAGCCAUACGAAGGUGUGAAGUAUCGACAAGAAGCUCAGAGACCUCGGCCUUCACCCUGCCUUGUGCAGCUGGAUCCUGGUCUUCCUGUCAGAUCGCCGGCAGGUGACAUGGUUCUUAAAGGCACAGUCCAUAAUCACAGGAGAGAGAGACCCUCGAAGCAGCCUCCGAGAGAGAGUGAAACCCACGUGUGGAACCAAAGCAGAUGGCGGAGAUCUAUUUACUCAGGAAAUGGACAAAGGGUCUAUGGGAGUGUGGAAAAGUGGCAUUAAAAUCCUAGACAUGUACAGUUUAAAGAAGAGAAGUUACUUUGCUGUUCAACUUCGAACAUAGAAACCUACAGCAUAUUCCAGGUUAUUCAGCCUAAAGUGUUGUGCCAACCAUGUAACUUACUCUAGUAACUGCCCAGAAUUUCCCUAGCGCAUAGCCCUCUAUUUUCCUAAGCUCUAUGUACCUAUCUAAGAGGCUGUUAAAAGACCCUAUUGUAUCUGCCUCGACCACUGCUGCCGGCAGUGGAUUGCACGCACCCACUGAGACUGUCUGAGGUCUGAACAACAUCUGACUGGUGUCAAGAAAACAAACUCUCCCUCAUUGUCACAAAAACGAAGGAGCUCAUUGUGGAUGACAGGAGGAUUGGAGACAGGCUAACCCCUAUUGGCAUCAAUAGAUCUGGGGUUCAAAGGGUGAACAGCUUUACGUUCUUUGGUAUAAACAUCACCAAGAUUUCACUUUGUCUGCACAUACUGGCUAAUUUGUGAGAAAAGCAAAACAGCACCUCUUUCACUUCAGAUGGGUGAAGAAGUUUAGGAUGGGACCCCAAAUCCUAAGAACUUUCUACAGGGACACAAUUGAAAGCAUCCUGACCAGCUGCAUCACUGCCUGAUAUGGGAACUGUACUUCGCUUAAUCGCAGGAACCUACAGAGAGUGGUGCAGACAGCCCAGCAUAUCUGUAGAUGUGAACUUCCCACUAUUCAGGACAUUUACAAAGACAGGUGUGUACAAGGGGCCAAAAGGAUUUUGGGGACCCAAUUCAGCACAAACACCAACUGUUCCUGCUGCUGCCAUCCAGGAAAUGGUACCACAGCAAAAGGACCAACAGGCUCCGGAACAUCAUCUUCCACCAGGCCAUCAGACUGAUUAAUUCAUGCUGAUACAAUUGCACUUUCAUGUUGUAUUGACUGUCUGAUAUACAAACUAUUUAUUAUUAAUUAACAUUGCACAUUUAGAUGGAGAUGUAACGUAAAGGUUUCUACUAUUCAUGUAUAUGAAGGAUGCACAUAAUAAAGUCAAUUCAAUUCAAUCUCUCCACUAUCUGUUCUGUCAUUCUGCCUCCUAUUCCCCUUACAAUUUACAUCACCCUCUUCCACACUAGCUCUAGCAAGCCUCACUGCUAGAAUAUUAGACCCUUUCCUGUUCUGCUUCCAUAACUCACCAAUCCCCUCUCACCCCUUUGACUUUCCUCGGCCAGGCAAUUCCCCUCAAAUGUUUCUAAAGCGGUCCACCUGUUGUUAUGGGGGAUGGCCACAAGAGUACUCUGCGAUGGCUAUUUAACCUCAUUUCCCUUCCUGACUCUCACCCAAUUUCCUGUGUCCUGCACCUUGUGUGUAACUCACCUCUCUUCAUGUCAUAUCUAUCAUGCCCUCCAGCUGCUGGAUGAUCCAGAAUUCAUCCAUUUCAAGUUCCAACUCCUUCAAGUGCAGGGUUACAAGCUGCAGCUGGAUGCACAUCUUGUCGGUGAGGGUGUCAGGGACACUGGAGGUCUCCCCACCUUCCCACCAAUGUCCCCUCUAAUUUGUAAUAACCAGUGUGCAUGUAAAUCUUGUACUGUGCAAUUUUAGCCAGUGACAACAUGAGCACAGUGAAUUUUAUAUGGAGAGGCAUUCAGAUUAACAGCUAGCAAAUCACUGUUGAUAGGAACUUUGACCUCCUCUGAGUCCGAUCGAGUUCAUCUGCACUCUCACGCAACCGGUUUAGCAGGCCUGGAACGGGUUGUUACGAAGAAUGAACAGCUCUGAUGGGCAGAAGGGUGCAGGGUUGCCCAUGUCCCCCUCCCCUGGGAGAAUUACAAACCGUUACUGUGGCCAGGCUGUUAAUGAGAGAGAAAGAGAUGGAACAAAACAUAUUGGGACUGGAACAUUUGCUUCAGACAAGGGCGAGAUAACACCAGGGGGAGAGAGACCAUAUUAUGACUCCUGUAAGACUCACGGCUCCAGAGAGGGCUGUUUACUUGGUACUAUUCUGUUCAUUAAAAUUCCUCAGUGGACAGCCGGAGUGGGCUGGUUUGAUGGGCUAAGCCAUUCAAAACUGAUUGACACCUGAGACCCCGUGAGAGGUCUGGGGAGACACCCC